rnacentral:rRNA from 1 species
UACGUAGGGUGCAAGCGUUAAUCGGAAUUACUGGGCGUAAAGCGUGCGCAGGCGGUUUUGUAAGCCAGAUGUGAAAGCCCCGGGCUUAACCUGGGAAUGGCAUUUGGGACUGCAAGGCUGGAGUUUGGCAGAGGAGACUGGAAUUCCUGGUGUAGCAGUGAAAUGCGUAGAUAUCAGGAGGAAUACCGAUGGCGAAGGCAGGUCUCUGGGCUAUAACUGACGCUCAUGCACGAAAGCGUGGGGAGCAAACAGG